ACUGAAUAGAUACCCUGGUAGUCCACGCCCUAAACGAUGUCUACUAGUUGUCGGGUUUUAAUUAACUUGGUAAACGCAGCUAAACGCGUGAAAGUAGACCGCCUGGGGAGUACGGUCGCAAGAUUAAAACUCAAAGGAAUUGACGGGGACCCGCACAAGCGGUGGAUGAUGUGGAUUAAUUCGAUGCAACGCGAAAAACCUUACCUACCCUUGACAUGUACGGAAGCCACGAGAGAUCGAGGUGUGCUCGAAAGAGAGCCGUAACACAGGUGCUGCAUGGCUGUCGUCAGCUCGUGUCGUGAGAUGUUGGGUUAAGUCCCGCAACGAGCGCAACCCUUGUCAUUAGUUGCUACGAAAGGGCACUCUAAUGAGACUGCCGGUGACAAACCGGAGGAAGGUGGGGAUGACGUCAAGUCCUCAUGGCCCUUAUGGGUAGGGCUUCACACGUCAUACAAUGGUACAUACAGAGGGCCGCCAACCCGCGAGGGGUAGCUAAUCCCAGAAAGUGUAUCGUAGUCCGGAUUGUAGUCUGCAACUCG
rnacentral:rRNA from 1 species